rnacentral:rRNA from 1 species
UACGUAGGGGGCUAGCGUUGUUCGGAAUUACUGGGCGUAAAGGGCGCGCAGGCGGCUGCUCAAGUCAGGCGUGAAAGGCCUGGGCUCAACCCGGGAAUUGCGCUUGAGACUGGGCUGGCUUGAGUGCGGGAGAGGAUGGUGGAAUUCCCAGUGUAGAGGUGAAAUUCGUAGAUAUUGGGGAAGAACACCGGUGGCGAAGGCGGCCAUCUGGACCGCAACUGACGCUGAGGCGCGAAAGCGUGGGGAGCAAACAGGG